GGGCGCGGCGGGCGGGGGUGCCUCCCGGCUCAGUAGACAAAGACUGUGCUUCUCGGGCCCGCCCGCACGGCGCAAGGAAGGGGCAGUGCGGUGGGCACACUGCACACUGGAGCCCAGAACCUCCCAACCGCACGGUCCGAAGGGCGGCGCUCGAUCUGCUUCAAUCCUCGGACCCCUCACGGUAUUUGGAUGCGACUCUCCUGCUCAACCUCAUCGUCCUUGCCUGUGUCAAGAGGACACAGUGGCGAGUGCACACGUGGAACGCCGCGACUCUCCCAAGGCCUACUUUGGUCUUGGACUCAGCUUGCUGGGAAAGUUCGAGAACGACCGCCCACUUGGAGGGGCCUCUGAGGCCCCGGAUCUUCUUAAGCGAACGCGCAGGAGUACUGAGGACCCAGUGCACCCAGGCAGAGACAGGGACUUGAGUUUGAAGGACGUAGAAACGUUUUCAAACAGAAGGGGCCUGUGGAUGGGGCCUGAGGAUGGAAGGGUGCCGCCAAGCCCGACGUGUUCCUGGGAGCCGCCAGCAGGCCAGAUCAGGGGCGCGGGCAUCUGACUGCAGCUCUGGGCCUUGGGACAGGGUGAGCUAGGUGCAGGACAAGGAGCAAGCAGAUAUUCCAGGCUUGGAGAGCAUUAAAGUUGAGGUGGAACUCGGGGUCUCAUGCAUGCUGGGAAGGCAAGAGGAGAACUUCCUGAGCCUCAUCUCUUCAGCCCUUGUUCUGUGUUGAAGGGAACGUGCGUCAAAAAGCCAGAGAGAGGAAGACAGGUAGGAGCGUGGGAGAGCCUGCCUUCAUGCGGAUGUCAUUCCUGGCAUUAGCUGUGUGGAGCUCUGACCCCCUCUACGGAAGGGUUCAGGAGCCUCAUACACACACAUGGGUACUCACUCCAUAGUUGAGCUGCAGAACCAUUGGAGGGACUAGAGACCGACCCUGUAGAGAUCCUGUGGGACCCUGUGGGACCCUGUGGGACCCUGUGGGCAGAGCUUGGGUGGGCCAGUUGUGGCGGGCCGGUAUUGUGUCUGGACUUACUAGGUUUGGGGACAAAAUGCGUGAGGGAAUGGAAGGCUAAGCUAAGGUUGCAUGUCACCCUGGGUGGGUCAGGAUCUGCCCUGUGUGGCUGAGUGUGGCCCCUGGGCCUGCUGGUCAGCUCUGUUGGGGUUUGGGGGUGGGGUGGGGCAGGCACUUAUGUAGAAAGGAACCACUUGAGGCAGGUAUCCUGCUGUCCGAGAGCCCUUUGCCCAGGCCAUUGAUGAGCUGAGGCAGAAGACAAGGUAGGUCCAAAUGCUUGACCUUGGUUGUUGGCUGGGGAGAGACCAGAGAGUCCUGGAGCGCCCAGAUUCUGGGGCUGUAUUGUUUUAUUGUUGGCUUAUGUUUUACAAGGGUGAAAUUACUACCUCUUCAAACUCUGCCCCACGGGGACUGAGGUCUGUUUAGCUCUGAGGAUCCCAGUCAAAGGGCAAGCAGUAGAAGAGAGGCUGUGUGGGAAGGGGCUGUCAUUGCCCACAGUAACAUGUUUGGAAAUGUCUUUCCUGAGUUCUUACAUAAGACAGGUUCAGUGUAGAAACAGAACCAAUAGAAGGUAAAAAGGAGCGCCGUGCCCUUUGGUCUCCCUCCCCGGAGGGGCUGCCAGUCAGCCCCUAACUCACCUGCUCAAUGCCAAGGACACAGGAGAGCCAUAUAACCUGGCUGUAUCGGCUCAUCUCCCAGCCCUCUCCUGCUCAGCUCUCGUUGACCCACCAAGCUCGUUCCUGCCUGUGCCUGUAAAAGGCUGGCACCUUCUGAGCCCUUCCCCUAACCGCGCAUAGCUCUAGAACAUCGAACUCCUACACACACAUACACACACACACACACACACACUCAGACACACACAUACACACACAUGCACACACACGCACACACACACACACACACAUGCACACACACACACACACUCAGACACAUACACACACGCACACACAGACAGACAGACACACACAGACACAGACACACACACACAUACACACACACACACACGCACACACAGACACACACACACAUACACACACACACACGCACACACAGACACACACACACACACUCAGACACACACACACACAGACACACACACACACAGACACACAGACACACACACACAGACACACAGACACACACACUCAGACACACACACACACAGACACACAGACACACACACACAGACACACAGACACACACACUCAGACACACAGACACACACACACACACACACACAGACACACAGACACACACACUCAGACACACACACACACACACACGCACACACUCAGACACACACACACGCACGCACGCGCACACACACACACACACACACACACACACUCAGACACACACGCACACACACGCCCCAGGUGAUGACAUUAGGAAGUAGGACCUUACUGGCUAACUGUGACUCCUGUCUCCAUGGACACACAGCUUGUGAAAGACAAGCAACAGGUACU
rnacentral:lncRNA from 1 species